UCUAUGGCCCAACAAGCCAUCCAACCUUCUCCAUCUCCGCCUCCUCCCAGAAGCGCCGUCAGUCGCCACGCCCUCGCUCCCCCCGAAGCGCCGCCACGCCCACCUCGAUCUCCGCUGCCACCUCCCACCCCUACCACCGCGGUAGUCCUACGCCCCCUGUACCCCGACCGCCGGCGCUCCUCCCAUCCCGAUCUUCGCCGAUGGUCCUGCGUCCUCACCACCUGACCUCCGGAGAAGCUCCUCCGACCCACCUCCCUCCCCGACCUCCGCUGCGCUCCCGCGCUCUUCGCCAUGGUCAUGCCCCCAUCCAUGCCGGUAGUGCAUGCUGGAUUAGGAGGUUGUACACGUACGUCUAUAUUUAUGUUCAAGUCGAGCUUCGUGAAUCAUGUAUGAUCAAGAACCUAUUGCCAUCAAUUCAAUCUCACAUGCAUGUGCUAGAUGCGGGAAGAAAUACUUCUCUUUUAAUUUGUAUAUGGAUGUGCGUAUUUAAUUUGUAUAUGGCUGUGCAUACGUAUGUAUGUACUGGCACAUCUUGCCGGAACCUGAUUGGGAAGUCAGAUUCGCUAAAUCUACGCGCCCGCGUCUUCGUGCCAUGUUAGUCGCAACUCACGGCCUGUAUCAACAACACCAAUUAUAUUUCUUCUCUUUUUAUUAUAACUAAUGUCAUCAAAUCUGAUAGUCGUCUACAGAGGUUUUCCCUGUGGAUACUGGGAUGCAUGGCACCAUAUUGCAGAUACUUGGAGUAUAUAUCUAGCAUAUCAAGCCACCAAAGACAAGUAAUACUUCGUUGAAACAAUAACAACAAUAUCUUCGUUUUAUCCAGAUGACAUCGUCCAUGUCUACUGAUGUGGUUGGCACUCACCACAGGUACUCUCUCCCCCAUAGAUGUACUAUUUUAUCUCUCUAGCUGUUUAUUAAAAAAAUUGGUCAUGUAUAGCAUUCAUGCCUUCUGGGGUAUAUAGAAGUCGAAGUGCCUAUGCGGGCUGCAAAAAUAGAGGGCGUCCCAACUCGGAUUUUGUGUCCUGCUCGAUCACGUCAGUAAUGGGCGUCGGACAUGGACUACACAUGGAACACUCUCUUUGCCACAUAAACGAUGGCCUCAAGCCCCUAUGUGGCAGUAUCUUUUCUCGCCGUUCUACCAUUUUCUCUAGAACAACGAUCUACAAGUUUGACGGAACACCGACCGCUAGUGCUCCACCUGAGGUACACCAUUGUACAAUCCACAUGCCAAACCAUGAGUAAAGUAGCAAGCUAUUAUGUUUCAAAAUUUAUUUGGAAGAGCAUUGUGUUUUGGGUUUUAUACUUAACCAUGAUCUUUUACUGUGUGCCCGCAACCAUAGCUUCUAUGGUAAUUAACUUGCCAUAUACAGAUAGUCUGCAGAGUUUACAAACAAGAUGAAACCAAUAAUGAUGAGUGACGAUUAUGGUAUGAUUGCCGGAUUAAUAAUUCAGAGCAAGAAAGCUAUUUUACUGGAAAAGCUGCGCUCCUGCGCUCUUCACCAUGGUCACACCCCCAUCCAUGCCGCUCUUUUCCCUGAACACCCAUGAGAGCGCCGCCACACUACGAUAGGAGCAAGUCGAGGUGCCUAUGCAGGCUGCAAAAAUGGAGGGCAUCACCGACUCGGAUGUUGUGUCCUGCUCAAGCACGUCAUUAAUGGGUGUUGGACAUGGACUCCACAUGGAAUGCUCUCGUUGCCACAUCAAAGAUGGCCUCAAGCCCCUAUACGGAAGUGUCCAGUCUUGCCGUUCUACCAUUUUCUCUAGAACAACGAUGUACAACUUCGACGGAACACGGAUCGUCAAUGCUCCACCUGAGAAUAAACUUCUCACGAGAAAUUACUUCUGGUGUUGCAAUGUAGCUAGAUUGGAGAGAAACAUGAUAGCAUCUUAAUAAUCUAGUAAGGUAUUCACGAGCUCCAUUGCAUAAUUUAUAGAGAAAUCAUAGAGAUUUUUCUUUAAUUCAUCAAUUUUUUUCCGCUUCCAGUAUGUAAUUUGUACAAAAAUCAUGGAGUGCUUAUGCAUGCUUGCCUUUUGUUGACAACAUAAUUUUGUAAGUAAAAUAAAUGACUUGUAUUUUCUACUCAUAAUGGUGCAUCCAGUGGAUAAAGGUGUGUAAGAUAAAGUUGUACUUCAGACUAUUAUUUUCGUUUGUGGAGAACAGACAAAAUGCGGAAAGCCCAUGGCAACCACCAAUUUUGUUACCUGCUCUGAGCAAUGUAGGAGUUUUGUAUAAACUUCAUCCUAUAGUAGAAUACUUAUCUAUACACGUGUUUCUGGUAAAAACCAACACAUUUUACACCUAAUUUUUACUUUUCUCACUGCAAGUCUGAUACAACACGGAACACUAAUUAAUCAUAUUCUCUUCAUACUACGUGCAUUCAGUCUAUAUGUAUUUCGUACAUAUCUAAUGCAGUAGAAGAACUCUUUAGAAUCAUUGGACUCGAUGUCCUCCAUGGCAAUGUAAUUUACGUUAACAUGAUGUUUGUACCAGAAAGGAUCAUGCACGCUUUCUUCUAUCUAUUAUAGCUUGCCGUUGCCACUGAUGUAAAAUGAAAUCUUCAUGGCAUGCGCCUCUAGCUUCCCAUUGAUGCAUCCAUUUUGAGAAAAGCUAGGAAAGAAGAGCGUUGAUAUACGUACCUUUUUUUAAGCAAGUACCGUUGAUAUACAUAUGACAGAUAUUUCGUGCACUGCUACUUUAGUAGCUAGCCUUCACUAAAAGGACCAAAAUCUAUGUUUUUUAAAACUAAGCUAAUCUUUACUAAUCAGUUCUUUUGUUCUACUUUAGAGAUCGUAAACCAGUUUUUUAUCGGGGCCAGUUUUCGGCUGGAAGGAAGAAACUCCACUCGCUGGGAGGACUUGGUGGUAAUUUACAAGGUCGUGCAGCAUUUUUCAUGUAAUUGGUAGCGAUCUAAGUCACAUGUUAUUAGAGUGGAUGUUACUACAACAUUUCCGUAUAAACGAAUGCCACUGAUCUUUGCAUAUAUAUUGAACUCCCUUUGUAAAUAAAUAUAAGAAGUUUUAAUA